UUUAUUUGUUGUUAAUUGUGAUAGUAAUUUCAGAUGUACUCCGUAUGUUACCUUUGCAGAUACGGUGUGGUACUUAUUAUAUUGAAAUUCCACAAUGAGUGAAAUUAAAUUAUGUGUUGAGUGUUAAACGUAGUUUAUUGUGAUGUGUAACUAAAACGUCUUUUGUAGUUACUAGUCUCGAGUUGUUGUUUUUAUUUUCACGAUAUGAUUAGACUUGUGAAACCGCUAGACCACUUUUUUGAAUAAUUUUCAAGUUGUGUUAAAGCUAACACUACCAGUACUACAGUAUAGUUCUCAGAUUUUUAUGCACCAAUUCAAGCGCAGGAAGUGAGUAAACUAUAGAUUGUUUGUUUUGUCUGUGGACGUACCGAGUCAACUGUAGCAUUUAUAGAAAAUGGGAAUUCUUCGGAGGAGAUAUAUGCUGACAUCGAUGUUAUUAUUUCUGAUUGUAAGAUGAAAUCGUUGAUUGGAUACUACAAUAUUAUAAUCAUAGCCAUCAGCAAUACAAACUGUUGACGAAUCAACCAAAAAUUAAGAAUUAGGUCAUAAGUUAAUCGCUCGCACCUGUUGCUUAGUAAUUCAUUUAAGUAAUUAUUGUAUAUCUUGCACUAUAAAAUUAAGUAUGGUUGCAUUUUCCUUUGUAUAAAAGACGAAUAAUUUAAAAUAAAAUCAG